GACCCUAACUCGGACGGACGGAAUUGGGACGCCCAGCGUGCAGAGCAGCGCUUCCCCGGAGCACUUUCGGCAAGUUCUUCAGACACCACCCCUCUCCCGGAACUGUAAACACCCCGCGAAUUGGCAGAUCAUGCCGUCUUGAAUGACCUGGCCUCGGCUGCGUCUACAGUCGAAGAGACAGCUUUGGCCGGUCAGGUAGGCGACAGCCAAGUGCGAAAUAACACAGUUUCGACCACGGUCACCGUUUGCUGAGCCCCCACUUGGUCCUUGCCGGACCCCAAGGACUUAAGCCCCGAGUAUGAGUUCCAACUCAUCUGUCGGCACAACAUCCUAAGAGGGCGAUAGGAUUCCUGCUGUUUUACAGACUGUGGUCUUUAAUAUUUGGUUUCAUUUAGCCUCAGGCUUCAGGCCCAGCCUCCCCUGGCAGGUGACUGCCAAAUUACAGGAGCCUGCCACCACCACCUCCUCUAUCCCCAUCCUAAAUCCAACCAUAGCGAUGCUGAUGUUACUGUAAUAAUUUGUACUGUCACCGGGUUAGAUUUUAUCUGGCGCUCUUGGAGGCUUGUGGGGGGGCACAGCUGCCAGGCCUUUUAUCUCUGCACCUGCUGGGAGUGAGGUCGGGUUUGGGGGCUCCUGGAGGCUCUCUGGGAAGCUUUCAGCCUAAGAGCACCAGGUCCUACAAACACAGCCUCCCUGCCUGAUUCUGGGCUCGGGCGGGCGCACGUAUGGUCAACAACGCGUGUGUCCUUCUUGCCACCCCCUAGGUCUUGUCGCCUGGUUUGAUGGCAGCCACAGUGGGCCUGGAGGGGGCUGAGCGGAGGGAAGAGGAAAGCAGGGCUGGCGAUGACACACGCCGUUUCACACGGAACCCAUGGGAGGAACCCAGUGCCCAGAGGGUCCCAGCUUCCAGCUGUUACCUUCCUACAGCUCAGAGAGGUUGCAGGACUUACUGGAAGACACCCAGCAGUCCCUCCUGGAGGCUCCGUUCCCCAGCGUGCUCUGCCACGAAGGAUCCCAGGAGGGGAGCAGCUGCCUCCCCAAGGGGCGCAUCAGUGCCUGAGGGGCACCCGGCGAGACGGCACAGGUGCUGGGGAGGGACCAGGCCCUGGGGGUGACCAUGAGCAGAGACACCCCUGUGUACCCAGACGCAGACGCCAUGGGCUACCAGUCAUGGGAGGGGAGAUGUUUUUAAACAAUUUAACAUGUUUUUUCUUUAAUGCAUUAAAGUGCUGCU
rnacentral:lncRNA from 1 species